rnacentral:rRNA from 1 species
AGGAUAAACGCUGGCGGCGUGCCUUAUGCAUGCAAGUCGAACGAGGUUAGGAUUUCGGUCCGAAGCCUAGUGGCGGACGGGUGAGUAACACGUACGUGACCUGUCCAGAAGUGGGGAAUAACCAGCCGAAAGGUUGGCUAAUACCGCAUGUGGUUACUUCUUAGAAGGAGCAAACCAAAGUCGCAAGACGCUUUUGGAGGGACGUGCGGCCGAUUAGCUAGUUGGUGUGGUAACGCGCACCAAGGCUGUGAUCGGUAGCUGGUCUGAGAGGAUGAUCAGCCACACGUGGACUGAGACACGGCCCAGACU